UUCGGCCAAGUUCUGGGCAACAGGUUGCACGGCUACUUCGCGUCUCGCUCCGGCACUUCGUUAAUACAUACGUAUUUUGCGCGUUUGCGCGUUUGCGCAAGGAUGCCAAGCAAGAGCGAGAUCGAAAUCGUAAUCGAGAUCGAAAUCGAGAGCGAGAGCGAAAACCCUUUGGAAUCGAAUUUGUUCGCGAAAUUGUCACCCACACGAAAAUACCGCCAAUGAAGGUAUCGGAACGGUACUUUUUACCCCAUCAUGACAGCAAUUAUUGCACUGUUCAAAGUUCUGAAAAAUAUUCGCUAAUUAACCCCUGACCACUUCGGAAAAGUGUGCAAAAAAUUAUCAUAUCCACGUAUUAAAUAGGUGUGAAGAGAGAGCGGGGAAAAGGUCGCCAGCAGCGAGCCCAAGUCUUUGAAUAUGUAUUUGGUCAGAAGCAGAAGAAGAUGCGACUGCUAAACCAGUUUAGCACUUGGGCUCCCAAAUGGCUCCUAAAUAUAUUCGAAUUUCGAAUGUUUGCCUUCGUGGUGUUUGACAAACGGUCAAAAUGCGGCGUGAACUUCUGAAAAAACAAAGCGCCCAAUGGAGAUGAGCGGCUGGUACUGUGCUUGCAACCCGGCCUACACCUACGUACGUACUUUAUUUUUUGUGGGCUCGAUAAUUAGAACAGGGGUUGCCAACCGAGUCCAGAUCGAACUUUGACAGCGACUUUGGUUGACUAUUUGCCUUCCCCCAGCUAACGACCCCUCAACUUCUUUAAUUCCAAUUUACCUGCUAAAAGUCUCACCAUUGCCUCACAGUUCCAGUGCGUUUUUGCGACAAAAAACCCAAAGCAAUGCAACAAGCAAACAUUUGCUUUUUUGGUCUCAAAGUUCGCUGCAUGGCCGAAGCGUACAAGAUCUUUUUGCGGAAUUCUAACCGAACAACACGUAACUGACCAUGUAAUCUAGCCGCGCCGUAUUAGCAUGUGUAAAUAGUUGGCGGGGGAGACGAUGAAUAUGCAUGAAUUGGUAGCCCUUUGCUGAUCCCAUCAAAAUUAUCCGGAACGCGCGUCUUCCAUAUUGGUGGAAUAUUUGAAUACAAUCGUUUCAAGGGCCUUUCUAGUGGCUGUAUGACUAGCGGAAAAAUUGGCAAUGGAUCGAUCUUAGAUCUCAUAUGGAAAGGUCUUCUGAGGAACCGGAGUAACUUUUGGGUAGCUCCAGUUUUUUUUGGCGGUGGACAUCCAAGAUGAUAUUCCGAGUAUUGUCACAAGGGCCGAGUUUCGAGCAAUAUUAUUCGACUAGCGAAGAUUUCAGUGAACCGCCGCCAUUGUGGAUAAUGCUGGUGCUUUUCUGAUUAUUAAAUAACUGUUAAGUCAAGUGGCAUUUUCCGAUUCUGCAAAUCAUUCUCGCCUUCGCAUUAACGUGGAAUUUUUGGUCUGAGGCAAUGCAAUCGAAAGUGUGAAAUACCAACGGCAGUAAAGAAUAACAAGCUGAUACACGAGUCAUUCUCCUGCCACCCGCCCCCCAACGAACCCGUGAUUAUAGCUCGAGUCUAAUCCAGACCUGCCAAUUUCGAUUAAGCACAGGCACACAGGUAGAGAUGGCCGCGCGUUAGAAAAUAUUUAAAACAAUAAAGCAUUGAGUUAACACGACGACGACGACUGGACUUCCCAUUCAGCGCCAUUUCUGCCGCAUUUGUCGACUGCCCCUCAAACAAGUUCCGACCAAAUCGAUCGACGCGACCAGCUCGAUCUCCUAAAAAUCAAGAGAAGACGCAAACUGGUGACGAUGGCGAAGCAGAUGAAGAUGCAGAGGUGGAGGUGGAGAUGGAGAUGGGAUUUAGUACGCGCAUAAAAACAAGAGAGACAUUAGAAAUUGCGCAAGGCGUUCGUGUUUGAACAUUGAUCGGCCAUCGUGAAAAUAUAUCAAGGUCAGCUGGUUGACACAGAAACCAAACGAAUCAGCUAACUAACAUUAAUUGAUGGAUCUGUGCGUUCCAAGACGGCCAAUUCGUAAGCCCUCCAGCUUGGAGGAAUAAUCUGCACUUCGGAUUUGCAUGUGAAGAGGCAGUAAAUUAAAAAUGAA